AGCUGGAACAGCUGUCAGCAGGCCCUGGAAGGGUCCCUGUAGAUCUUUUGUGCUUCUGUCACCCAUGCCUGCUGGAUGCUUCCUCUUGUGCUGUGUCUGACAGGUGGGUGGGGCAGGGGAGGAUGUGAGGGGGAUGAAAGGUGCCCUUUAAAGGUCCUGGCACUUCAUCUAAGAAAACUUAAGCCCUGUCCUAGGUCUGGGACUGAUUAGGAAGUCAGAACGGCACCUUGAUCUCCAACAUUCAAGGUCCCAGAGGCCAUUUCUCCUGGUGGCCCAGUGGGCAUGAGUUCACAAGAGACCUGGGGCCAGAGAUUUAGGAUGGGGGAGAAGUAUGUUCCCAUGGGUCUCCUAGAAGCCUGAACAUUCAGUCUCAGUGGUCUCUGGAUUCUCAAGGGAUGCUCUUUGCUUCCCAGAGAGGGGUGAGUCCCAAGUGACACCCACUGUCUGGACCACGAAAUGUGGAAAACACCAUGAGUCUGGAGGCACAGGUAAGGGUCAGUUACAAAAGCAUUAUCUAUGUCUUCAAGCUGUCACCAUGCUCAGCUGUGCACUCAGCAGGCGGAGGCAGAAGUCACUUCUGUUCCAAGGACACAGACAUCAAUCUUACGCAGACGAACGGCUCUGCCUCCCUCAUCCUGGAAUCCCCCGCUCCUUUGCUUGCUAGCUUCCGAACAGAUUGCCUAUCCGGCUCUUCCCCUCCCCCGACUCUCCUCUUCCAUGUCUCCUGCAUCCCAGGCCAGCAUCUUCUGCGGUUUCCUGUCCUGUGGUCCCUGUGCCCCUUCUUUUACGCUGAAAGGAAAUUUGAGAG
ensembl:antisense Gm13716 predicted gene 13716